CCUGACCUCACAGAGUCACAGCCCUGGGUCUGCGGUGGCGGAAGACCCAGAGACAAGGCUUCUGAGCUGGCACGGACAGAAUGAGAGGGGACCAGCACGAGAAGGGGCACAGCGGGGACCACGCCAGGUGUGGGAGCCACGUGGACCUCUGUCCUUGUGAACAAAAAUCAGGUUGAAGAGGAACCAGUGACCCCAACUGGGUCUUUAGGUCUGAAUAACAGCAGAGGAAACAGCCAGCCCUCACCUAGCACUUAAGGUGGCCCCAAGCCCUGUUUAAGCGCUUUGAAAUUGUAACUCUGAGUCGCAGCAACUCCUGAUAAGGCCAGUGCUAUGGUUACUACCUCCAUCUACAGGACACUUGUCACCGGGUGUAAGGCCCACCCAGAUAAUCCAGCAUGAUCUCCUCAACUCAAGAUUCUUAACCCAAUGACAUCUGCAGAGACAUUUUUUCCAAGGAAGAUCACGGUGAUGUGUUCUGGGGAUCGGGACGUGGCCAUAUCCAUUCGAUUCAAUACAUCAUUAAAAAGCUUACAAUCUCGCGAGGGUAUACGCUAAGAAUAUUAACAAAUAGGAAGGCACAAAGGUGCUAAGGGCCUUGAUGGAAAUAAAAUGGGAGUUGGUAAAAGAGCGUUUGGGAUCCGUUUAGGUUGGUGAGACAGGAAAGACCUCUCUGAGUGCACAGUUUUGCAAGCUGACCCGAAGGACAAGAAAGAGUCAGCUGAUCACGUCCAGUGGGGCUCAGUGUUCUGGCCCAACUGCUUGUUUAUUUAUACCGUAAUGAGUAAAUAUCAUUUUGGGGUGACUUGGGCACAGCACCCCCUGCUGUGCCCAGGAGAGUGAGGAAGCAUUUUCAUACAUGCAGAUAAAGUGGUUUCAACAUCACAAAUUACAAGUAGCCUAAACAGACCGUUAGCUCUGUUACUGCCAAAAACAUGGAUGCAGAUCAAUUGCUAUAAAUCCAAGUGCAUCGGUUUUGGCCGACCUCCCCAGACCUUUCAGUGGAUUUACAGCUAAUAACAGAAGAGAACGCCACCUCAUUCAGUUACCUGGGGUGUACAUUUUGCAAGGAGUUUAAUCCGGAGGGGCCACGGCCAAACAUUUCGCAGUCACAUUCCGCAGCAUAUGGCUUUGAUGUAUCGAUUACCCCUCGGCUCGCCUGUCAUAGCAGAUCCCAAAGAAUCGUCUGAGGAGAAUCAGGCUGCCCUCGGCCCUUCGGCCCCUCUCUGGACAGAGGUCCGUGGCUUGAGUUCACUUGCCUGUCCUGUUUGACUCCACGACCUUCAUAAAGAGCCUUUGUUCCUACCUCCAGGUUCAGCUAAUUACCAUAUCUUUCUCCAUCUUGAAUGACGACCUUGAUGAUACGUUCCAGGCAUCGCCAGGCGUUUCCUCCUAAACCCCCUGCCACUCUACGUCCACCAGAAGCUCUAGCAGGGAAAGCAAGAUCUGUGAUGUCAACCAUAAAACACUCUUUUAUGCCAAUCCUUUGUGGAAAUGGUAAAAACAAUCUUUUUUAAAAAAACAAAAAUAAAACGGUAACUACAUGGCCUUUGUAUUGAUAAUAAGACAUGACUGUCGUGGGCUGCAUGGUCCUCCCCCAAAAGAUAUGUCCCUGACCUCGUCUCUAAAACCCGUGAGUGUGACCUUAUGGGGGAAAAAGAGUGUGUGCAGAGGAAAAUAGAGCCCUCAUCACUUGCACUCAAUAGACUCCAAUGACCCCAGUUAUACAACCCCUGCAAUGCAAUGCUGGUUAGUAAGGGGCUUGAGCUGACCAUGAAGUGGUCAAUGGAACUUUCUUCAGGAUCUCUGAGUGCUCAGAGGGGCAGAGAACACGUAAAUGAGCGGCUGCCGGUUGUGCAGAAUCAUUAACUCAGAGAGAAGACACAUGUGUGCAGAUGACUACACUUUCCAUACAGGAUUUGUCACUAUUCAGCCACUGAAGAAAAUGCAUCGGAAAUAUAAAAAUCCCGUUUAUACUGAUGAAACUGAGACUCUGUGGGACACUUCAAUUGGCCAGGAGAGACCACACAGACCCCAUUUUGGUACACAGAUGCCAUUACUCCGAGGAACUUCUGCUCCACUGAAGCUGUCUAGGAUGGCAUCCUCAUUUGGCUUUUAGCCACGCGAAAGCCUCCGUCAGCAGAAUCCACAGGCUCUCAUCGGCCUCCAGUUUAAUGAAUAAUCACAGGGAAAACACAGGCGCCAACAGACCAUCGGCUAACAGCCCCCAAAUCCUGGUGUCGUCUGUUUUCAAUUAUUUGUCCCACAGAUAUUGACUCUGGCUCUCCCCAGUGGGAAACCACGGAACAGAUGUAUUCGUGUGACCACGUGCAAGCUGGGGUAUUUUCAUGCCAGGAGCAAGUGGCUCUUCAUGCUGACAUGAAGCUCCAGACAGCUGUUAUGAAGCUGGUGGACAGUGCACAGUCAUAACAACACGCUAGGACAUGGAGAGGAUGCGUCUGGUCAGGGAGGGACCAGGGUGAAUGGAAAUCGUCAGAAAAGCCUUUCCAGAAGAGGAAAAGCAGGGACCUGUGGACAUCCAAGGAUGCAGAACAGUGGAGCUGGCGCUUAGAGAGCAUGGAUUCUGGAGCCAGGCCCUCUGGGUACAAAGCCUGCCUGAGGUUUGUGCUAGCUGCCUGACGUUAGAAGGCAAGUUAUAACAACCUUCUCGUCCCCCGUUUCCUCUAUAAAAUGAAGGAAGCAGCAAUGCUGAACUUGUUUUCUAUGCUGGGCAAAAAUGACCACCAACCUGCUGGCUUUAAACAACACCCACUGAUGAGCUCCCAGGGCUGUAGGUCAGAAACCCAGCUUAGUGUGACUGAAUUCUCUGCACAGGCUUUACAAGGCAGAAAGGAGUUAAGUCAUUGGCUCGGUUGAGUUCUUGUCUGGAGAUGCUGGGGAGCCAUCUGCUUCCAUGCUCAUUCUUGCGUUUGGCAGAAUUUACUUCCUUGUGGCUGCAGGACCGAGGUUGCCGUUUCCUGGUUGGCUGUCAGCUGGGGGCCCAUCUUAGUUCCUGAAGGUCACUCAUGUCCCUCGUCACAUGGUCUCCUCCAUCUUCAAGUCAGCAAUGGUACACCCAACCCUUGUCAGACUUUGAGUCUCCGACUUCCUCUUCUUUAACCAGCCAAAGAAAACCCUGUGCUUUUAAAGGGCUCAAGUGAUUAGAUCCGGCAUACCCUGAUAAUCUCCCAAGGUCAACCAAUCUUAGACUUUACUUACAUCUAUAAAAUCCCUUCACUGCAGUUCCUAGAUUAGCAUUGGGUUGGACAAUAAG